rnacentral:piRNA from 1 species
UAAAAGACUAUGGCCUUUGGUGACUUCCCUC